rnacentral:rRNA from 1 species
UAUCAUUAACUGAAUACAUAGGUUAAUGAAGCGAACCGGGGGAACUGAAACAUCUAAGUACCCCGAGGAAGAGAAAUCAACCGAGAUUCCGGUAGUAGCGGCGAGCGAAACCGGAUUAGCCCUUAAGUUAGUUCUGCGUUAGGUGAAGGUUCUGGAAAGUACCGCGAUACAGGGUGAUAGCCCCGUAACCAACAACGCUUUAUUAGUGAAAUCGAGUAGGACGGGACACGUGAUAUCCUGUUUGAACAUGGGGGGACCAUCCUCCAAGGCUAAAUACUCCUGACUGACCGAUAGUGAACCAGUACCGUGAGGGAAAGGCGAAAAGAACCCCUGUGAGGGGAGUGAAAUAGAACCUGAAACCGUGUACGUACAAGCAGUAGGAGCCCACUUGUUGGGUGACUGCGUACCUUUUGUAUAAUGGGUCAGCGACUUAAUUUUAGUAGCAAGGUUAACCGUUUAGGGGAGCCGUAGGGAAACCGAGUCUUAACUGGGCGUCAUAGUUGCUAGGAUUAGACCCGAAACCGAGUGAUCUAGCCAUGGGCAGGUUGAAGGUGAGGUAACACUUACUGGAGGACCGAACCGACUAAUGUUGAAAAAUUAGCGGAUGACUUGUGGCUAGGGGUGAAAGGCCAAUCAAACUCGGAGAUAGCUGGUUCUCCCCGAAAGCUAUUUAGGUAGCGCCUCGGACGAAUACUACUGGGGGUAGAGCACUGUUAAG